rnacentral:rRNA from 1 species
CCUACGGGGGGCAGCAGUGAGGAAUAUUGCUCAAUGGGCGAGAGCCUGACCCAGCCACGUCGCGUGAGGGAGUACUGCCCUAUGGGUUGUAAACCUCUUUUGUCGGGGAGCAAAAGCCGGACGUGUCCGGCUGUGAGAGUACCCGAAGAAAAAGCAUCGGCUAACUCCGUGCCAGCGCCCGCGGUAAUACGAAGGAUGCGAGCGUUAUCGGGGUUUGUUGGGUUUAAAGGGUGCGCAGGCGGAUUUUUAAGUAAGCGUUAAAAUCGUGGGGUUAAACCCCAUCAAGCCGGUGAUACUGGGGAUCUAGAGUGUGCGAGAGGUAUGCGGAAUGCGUGGUGUAGCGGUGAAAUGCAUAGAUAUCACGCAGAAUCCCGAUUGCGAAGGCAGCAUACCGGUGCACAACUGACGCUCAGGCACGAAAGCGUGGGUAGCGAACAGGAUUAGAUACCCGGGUAGUC